UGCUGCUUGCCUAUAGAUUGUUAGCAUUGUUCUUGGUUCUCUAGUUGAUGCCACACAAAAGAGUACAGAAGAAAGUGUUCCAAUGUUGUUUCUCCUGACAGUGAUCUGGAUGAAUCGUGCAGUCGGUGGAGGGUCAAAAAGACUAAUCCUGUUUGCGGGAUUGUGAAAGCUGGACUUUCCAUGAAGGUUCAUUGCCAAAAUAUGAGUCUCUUACGCUACAAUGUGAGAAAAAUUCAAGUAUAUAAGCACCCAGGGGACGUCGAUGGAGACGCAUUUUAUUUGGUUGGUAUGAAAAUAUUGAAUGGCUG